AGAAUCAACGCUGGCGGCGCGCUUAACACAUGCAAGUCGCACGAGAAAGAGGGCAACCUUGAGUAAAGUGGCGUACGGGUGAGUAACACGUGGAUCAUCUGCCUUUUAGUGGGGAAUACCCCCGGGAAACUGGGGACAAUACCGCAUAAGCUCGAGAGAGGAAAGCCGAAAGGCGCUGAAAGAGGAGUCCGCGGCUGAUUAGCUAGAUGGCGGGGUAACGGCCCACCAUGGCAAAGAUCGGUAGCCGGCCUGAGAGGGCACACGGCCACACUGGCACUGAAACACGGGCCAGACUCCUACGGGAGGCAGCAGUGGGGAAUCUUGCACAAUGGAGGAAACUCUGAUGCAGCGACGCCGCGUGAGCGAUGAAGCCCUUCGGGGUGUAAAGCUCUUUCGACGGGAACGAUAAUGACGGUACCCGGAGAAGAAGCUGCGGCUAACUACGUGCCAGCAGCCGCGGUAAUACGUAGGCAGCGAGCGUUGUUCGGAAUUACUGGGCGUAAAGAGUGUGUAGGCGGUGCUCUAAGUCUGUUGUGAAAUCUCCCGGCUUAACUGGGAGGGUGCGGCGGAAACUGGAGUGCUCGAGGAUGGGAGAGGUAAGCGGAAUUCCUGGUGUAGCGGUGAAAUGCGUAGAUAUCAGGAGGAACACCUGUGGUGUAGACAGCUUACUGGACCAUAUCUGACGCUGAGACACGAAAGCGUGGGUAGCAAACAGGAUUAGAUACCCUGGUAGUCCACGCCCUAAACGAUGCAUACUUGGUGUGAGCCAUUCAUUUGGUUCGUGCCGGAGCUAACGCGUUAAGUAUGCCGCCUGGGGAGUACGGUCGCAAGGCUG
rnacentral:rRNA from 1 species